ACUCGUUGAUGAAGUUUUCUCGAUUGUUCUGGUCCAUCUCUAUUUUUGUGAUGGACCAAUACAACCGCGAACCCGUCAUCAUCGCCU
rnacentral:pre_miRNA from 1 species